GCGGGUAUUGUAUAAUGGCAUUACCUCAGCUUUCCAAGCUGAUGACGCGGGUUCGAUUCCCGCUACCCGCU
rnacentral:tRNA from 1 species